GGUCCAGUACCUUAGUGGUUAAGAGCACCAGCAUGUACAUACAUAUAACCAGGAGGUCCUUGCUUCAAUCCCAGGCUGGGUCA